AUGGCCAAGAGAAAGGCUGAAGGAGAUGCUAAAGGAGAUAAAACCAAGGUGAGGACGAACCCCAGAGAAGAUCUGGAAGGUUGUCUGCUAAACCUGCUCCUCCAAAGCCAGAGCCCAAGCCUAAGAAGGCCCCAGCUAAUAAGGGAGUGAAGGUACCCAAAGGGAAAAAGGGAAAAGCCAAUGCUGGCAAGGAGGGGAAUAACCCUGCAGAAAAUGGAGAUGCCAAAACAGACCAGGUACAUAAAGCUGAAGGUACUGGAGAUGCCAAGUGAAGUGUGUGCAUUUUUGAUAACUGUUUACUUCUGGUGACUGUACAGUUUGAAAUACUAUUUUUUAUCAAGUUUUAUAAAAAUGCAGAAUUUUGUUUUUGUUUUUUUUUUAAGCUAUGUUGUUAGUACACAGAACACUUCAUUGUUGUUUUUUGGGAAAGGGGCAUAUGUCACUAAUAGAAUGUCUCCAAAGCUGAAUUGAUGUGGGGAAAACACCUUUCCCUUCUAGUUUUAAGAGACUUCCUCUUGGCUUCCAGGAGGAGGGAUUCCCCGACGUUGACACACAUAGCCACCUUGGUACAAUCAC